GCCAAUGGGCGAAGCCUGAUGCAGCGACGCCGCGUGAGGGAUGACGGCCUUCGGGUUGUAAACCUCUUUCAGCAGGGACGAAGCGAAAGUGACGGUACCUGCAGAAGAAGCACCGGCCAACUACGUGCCAGCAGCCGCGGUAAUACGUAGGGUGCGAGCGUUGUCCGGAAUUACUGGGCGUAAAGAGCUCGUAGGCGGUUUGUCGCGUCGUCUGUGAAAACCAGCAGCUCAACUGCUGGCUUGCAGGCGAUACGGGCAGACUUGAGUACUGCAGGGGAGACUGGAAUUCCUGGUGUAGCGGUGAAAUGCGCAGAUAUCAGGAGGAACACCGGUGGCGAAGGCGGGUCUCUGGGCAGUAACUGACGCUGAGGAGCGAAAGCGUGGGUAGCGAACAGGAUUAGAUACCCUGGUAGUCCACGCCGUAAACGGUGGGCGCUAGGUGUGGGUUUCCUUCCACGGGAUCCGUGCCGUAGCUAACGCAUUAAGCGCCCCGCCUGGGGAGUACGGCCGCAAGGCUAAAACUCAAAGGAAUUGACGGGGGCCCGCACAAGCGGCGGAGCAUGUGGAUUAAUUCGAUGCAACGCGAAGAACCUUACCUGGGUUUGACAUAUACCGGAAAGCCGUAGAGAUACGGCCCCCCUUGUGGUCGGGUAUACAGGUGGUGCAUGGCUGUCGUCAGCUCGUUCG
rnacentral:rRNA from 1 species